rnacentral:rRNA from 1 species
UACGUAGGGUGCGAGCGUUUAAUCGGAAUUACUGGGCGUAAAGCGUGCGCAGGCGGCUUCGCAAGUCAGACGUGAAAUCCCCCGGGCUUAACCUGGGGAAUGGCGUUUUGAAAACUACGGAGCUGGAGUGUGGCAGAGGGAGGUAGAAUUCCACGUGUAGCGGUGAAAUUCGUAGAUAUCGGGGAGGAACACCGGUGGCGAAGGCGGCGAUCUGGGGUCGAUACUGACGCUGAGGAGCGAAAAGCGUGGGGGAGCGAACAGGG